rnacentral:rRNA from 1 species
AGCAGCCGCGGGUAAUUCCAGCUCCAAUAGCGUUAUAUUAAAGNUUGUUGCAGUUAAAAANGCUCGUAGUUGAANUUCGGGGAUCAGCAGGUUGGUCGUGCCUCNCCCCCCCCANNGGUUUNGCUGAUUCCUCCUUUCUGAAGAACNGUAANGUCAUUAAUUUGGUGUUGCAGGGAAACAGGACUGUUACUUUGAAAAAAUUAGAGUGUUUAAAGCAGGCUAACGCUUGAAUACAUUAGCAUGGAAUAAUGAAAUAGGACGUUUGAUCCUAUUUUGUUGGUUUCUAGGAUUGACGUAAUGAUUAAUAGGGAUAGUUGGGGGCAUUAGUAUUCAAUUGUCAGAGGUGAAAUUCUUGGAUUUAUUGAAGACUAACUACUGCGAAAGCAUUUGCCAAGGAUGUUUUCAUUAAUCAAGAACGAAAGUUAGGGGAUCGAAGACGAUCAGAUACCGUCGUAGUCUUAACCAUAAACUAUGCCGACUAGGGAUCGGAUGAUGUUAAUUUUUUAAANGNCUCCA